AGGGGUAUAGCUCAGUGGUAGAGUGUGUGCCUAGCAUGCAUGAAGUCCUGGGUUUGAUUCCCAUUCCCUCCA
rnacentral:tRNA from 1 species